rnacentral:rRNA from 1 species
UACGUAGGAGGCGAGCGUUGUCCGGAUUUACUGGGCGUAAAGCGCGCGCAGGCGGCAUGGCAAGUAAGGUGUGAAAUCUCCCUGCCUAACGGGGGAGGGUGCAUUUUAGACUGCCAAGCUAGAGGACGGUAGAGGGGGUAGAAUUGCUGGUGUAGCGGUGAAAUGCGUAGAGAUCAGCAGGAAUACCCCGUGGCGAAGGCGGCCCCCUGGGCCCGACCCUGACGCUGAGGCG